GUCAUGAUCUCAUCAUCGAAACUCUUUUCGAUGGAUCAGAACUCUUCUGAUUCAGACAAUUAGAAUGAUCGAUCAUCAAGAUCAUUCUAAUUGCUCUCAAAAUUUACUAGUGAUACCUAGCAGUAUAUUAUGGCAACCCAUCAAAAAUGAAGACGAAUCUCUCGAUGCAGUUACCUGUGUGAUUGUGUUCCUCUAUCUUGAGUCCCGAC
rnacentral:lncRNA from 1 species